GCGUGGUGCUCGGUGAGAAGGCGUCGCGGGUGAGUAUCCGAGCGCAGUCGGGUGACCCGGGCUUGGGUUGGGGGCUGCAGGCUGUGAAAAGGUUUUAGAGGUUUAAGCUUAGAGUGUUGAAAGCUUGCACGUCGGAAACACGCAGCCGGACCGUCACGUGUCCUGAGUCGAGGUGGCGGCGGACUUCGACCUGAGGCUGCUGCUGAUGGCGCGGACGCUGCGCGCGGCCUGGGUGCCGAGCCCGGGCAGCCGGCCCGCUGAGCCUGAGCUGCGGCGGGAAAACAACCACAUUCCCAGGGUUUGGGGCGGGGAGUUAGGUUUACGUUAAGAGCAAGAGGCGUUUAUUACUAAAGCGAAUCUUUCUCCCGUCGCCAGACCAAACGGUUACUUCAGUGGGCAGCUCCCGACAAUGCAUGAGACUGAGUUGUACUGUGCCCAGAUGGCGCUGUGUCCAGAUCGGAUUAAUGAAGGGGAGGGUUUUAGUACUGAAAAUCUUGCACUGUGACGUACGAUGAGAAUGCUUUAUUUUAAAUAUGUUGAUCCACCGCAGGAACAAUGGCUCUUAGUGUAACGGAGCUGUUACGUGGAGAUGCUAAGAUGCAAAGGAAAAUUUCAAAACAUACGAGAGAGUAUUUGCUGGAAAAUUACUUGGUUAAAACCUGACAAUCUUACCAGCAUCCUGGGGCUUGAUAAAUACUAGUGAAGCUAUGGGUGUCAUUGACCAGCAGCUUCAUUUUGAAUGAGGGGUCGCUGUCAGCCCAUUGAAAAAGGCCAGUUUGCUGUGAAGUUCCUCAGGUGUAACCAUUUCUGUGAGUGGAGCUAUUAAUCAGUCAAUACUGUGUCCUUGGUCUUAAUCGAUGAUGAUCCUAUCCCGAACCUGAAUUUCUGUUGAAAAAAAUACGGAUCUGGCUUCUGAGAUAGACCAUUAUAAGGACAAUAACGUUUAAGUAAGUUCUGAUGUUGAUAGUCUUGUAAAUCUCAAAUGUUUUUCCUUUUCUAGGGCUAGUACCAUGAGAUUUACUUGUCAUAUGAAAAACUGGUGAUCAGGAAAAGCUCUUCAUUUUACGGACAUGGAAAGAAAACAUACAAAUCAAGACGGGUUAUAUUGAUUUUUAAUUUUUUAAAUAGAUUCCGAACCAACAUCGAAUCUAGAUUAAUGUAUCCAUAAGAUUCAAGCCAUUUCUAUUUAAUCAUGUCACACUAUCCAAGAGAGUCACAACCUGUAAACCAGUAGGUUACUUCCUAGAUCUAUUUAUACUUUGUAAGUACAGGAAUACCUGUGGUACUAAGUAUUUUUAAUAGAAAAUUCUUUUCCAGUUGCCCACCUUUGUAAUCAAAUUUUUCUGAAUGAAUGUUUUACCUUUGGUCACCUGUUUGAAUUUAAAAUGCAUAAUUGUAAUUAAAGCUGAGUGAAAGUUUAUACUGAC